GUGGGGAAUAUUGGACAAUGGGCGCAAGCCUGAUCCAGCCAUGCCGCGUGAGUGAUGAAGGCCUUAGGGUUGUAAAGCUCUUUCAGUGGGGACGAUAAUGACGGUACCCACAGAAGAAGCCCCGGCUAACUUCGUGCCAGCAGCCGCGGUAAUACGAAGGGGGCUAGCGUUGUUCGGAUUUACUGGGCGUAAAGCGCACGUAGGCGGAUUGGUCAGUUAGAGGUGAAAUCCCGAAGCUCAACUUCGGAACUGCCUUUAAUACUGCCAGUCUCGAGUCCGGAAGAGGUGAGUGGAACUCCUAGUGUAGAGGUGGAAUUCGUAGAUAUUAGGAAGAACACCAGUGGCGAAGGCGGCUCACUGGUCCGGUACUGACGCUGAGGUGCGAAAGCGUGGGGAGCAAACAGGAUUAGAUACCCGGGUAGUCC
rnacentral:rRNA from 1 species